rnacentral:rRNA from 1 species
UUGUUUGGAGAGUUUGAUCCUGGCUCAGGACGAACGCUGGCGGCGUGCUUAACACAUGCAAGUCGAGCGGAAAGGCCCUUCG